GGCAUGGUGUUCUGCAUUUCUGUGUCGCCUUGGGCGUCAAGAGUAAGUUAACUUAGCUAUCUGAUGGUUAAGUGUUUUCACGUUUCUUUAACAUCGUCGAUGUAACGUAGGUUGUCGGUUUCUGUGUUGAACGAGCUAACAUUAGCUUACUUUACAUAUGUUAGCUGAGGUAAUGUUUAGCUAACGCUCGUGUUAUAGGUUCAUUAGUGGCAGGUGGGUUAAGACACCUGAGGGGUCACGUGCUACACACUGCAUCUAAUAACGACCAUUUUAUUGAAGUGCUUUGAAACUGGUUCCACGCAGACAUGUAUAGACAAGCUCACAUAUACCGGAGCGGUCAGUCCGGACAGUCACGUGACCAGACACGUUAUUGUACAGGUCUGUUCACGUGACGUCGGGACUCUGUACACGUGACGCUCUUAACGUGACGCUCUUAACGUGAUGCUGUUGACGUGGUCGGGACUCUGUUCACGUGACUGUUGUUAACAUGACGCUUAUAACUGCGCUAUGGCGGGACAUGACAGCUCACAGCUCCUCAGAAGCUCCGUGCACCGUGAGCUGUCCAGUGAGGGGAUGGUUUCAUGAUCAAAUCUUCAUUUACUGUCCACAUUAUCAGAUGAGGACGUCACCAAAGGGAGUGUCCUUUGAGUCAAUGUUUACAUUUAUGUACAGAUAAUUAAGAACAAUUAGUUAAUUGUAAAAUGCUAAUUAUUUUCUCCUGCCACCUUUCAGACAUUAUAAUCCAACUUGGAUGGAAAAACUUCGUGACCUUAAUGACACCCAGCAACACAAGAGACACACAAGCACCACAGGGGAGGAUCUGCAGCAAAGGGACCACCGGAAAUCAAACCUUGGCCGCCAUGAUGACGACAACAUGGGCCACUUGAGUGUGUGAUUACGACUACCAGCAUGAACCUCAACACCUUCUUUGCUGUUCCACUAGUGUGACCCAUGAUCGGAUACAAGUUGU